GAUGAAGAACGUAGCGAAAUGCGAUAAGUAAUGUGAAUUGCAGAAUUCCGUGAAUCAUCGAGUCUUUGAACGCACAUUGCGCCCCCUGGUAUUCCGGGGGGCAUGCCUGUCCGAGCGUCAUUGCUGCCCUCAAGCACGGCUUGUGUGUUGGGCCCCGCCCCCCGGCUCCCGGGGGGCGGGCCCGAAAGGCAGCGGCGGCACCGCGUCCGGUCCUCGAGCGUAUGGGGCUUCGUCACCCGCUCCGUAGGCCCGGCCGGCGCCCGCCGGCGACCCCCCUCAAUCUUUUCAGGUUGACCUCGGAUCAGGUAGGGAUACCCGCUGAACUUAAGCAUAUCAAUAAGCGGAGGA
rnacentral:misc_RNA from 1 species